AUGAGGUGUGGAUAGGGGAGAAAUUCCAAUCGAACCCGGAGAUAGCUGGUUCUCCUCGAAAUAGCUUUAGGGCUAGCCUCAUGGAUCAUUGGUGGGGGUAGAGCACUGAAUGUGCGCGGGGGCCACAAAGCCUACCAAACGCUAUCAAACUUCGAAUACCAUACAAUGCAGACCAUGGGAGUCAGUCCGCGAGAGAUAAGUUCCGCGGGCAAAAGGGGAACACCCCAGAUCAACCGCUAAGGUCCCCAAGUUCACGUUAAGUGGAGAAGGAUGUGGAAUUGCACAGACAACCAGGAUGUUGGCUCAGAAGCAGCCACACAUUUAAAGAGUGCGUAAUAGCUCACUGGUCGAGUGAUUGUGCGCCGAAGAUGUCCGGGGCUAAACGUGACACCGAAGCGAUGGGUGCAUCUGAGAAGAUGCGCGGUAGAGGAGCAAUGUGCAGAGGCAGAAGCCGUAUCGAGAGGCACGGUGGACACUGCACAAGAGAGAAUGCCGGUAUGAGUAGCGAGAGGCAUGCGAGAAACAUGCCCGUCGAAAGCCCAAGGUUUCCUGGGGAAGGUUCAUCCGCCCAGGGUAAGUCGGGGCCUAAGCCGAGGACGGAAGUCGUAGGCGAUGGACAGCAGGUGUAGAUUCCUGCACUACCGAUGGAAUGAAGCAGUGACACAGAAGGAUAACUCGAGCAGGGUGAUGGUCAACCCUGUGCAAGCAUCAAGGUUGGGUUGUAGUGAAGUACGCAAUCCUAUAAGCUGAGGUGUGAUGCGGACCGAAAUUUCAGUAGGGAAGCGAGUGAGUUCACGCUGGCGAGAAAAGCUGCUAGUACAUCCAAAGGUACCCGUACCGGAAACCGACGCAGGUGGGCGAGGAGAGAAUCCUGAGACGAACGGGAGAACCCUUGUUAAGGAACUCGGCAAAAUGACCCCGUAACUUCGGGAUAAGGGGUGCCUGCGAGAGCAGGCCGCAGAGAAUAGUCACAAGCGACUGUUUAGCAAAAACACAGGUAUCUGCGAAAGCGAGAGCUGACGUAUAGGUGCUGACACCUGCCCGGUGCUGGAAGGUUAAGGGAACAUGUUAGAGCAAUCGAAGCAUCGAACCGAAGCCCCAGUAAACGGCGGCCGUAACUAUAACGGUCCUAAGGUAGCGAAAUUCCUUGUCGGGUAAGUUCCGACCCGCACGAAUGGUGUAACGACUUGUGAGCUGUCUCAACAGGGGGCCCGGUGAAAUUGAAGUAUGGGUGAAGAUGCCCAUUACCCGCGACUGGACGGAAAGACCCCGUAGAGCUUUACUGCAGCCUGAUAUUGAGUUUCGGUAACUGAUGCACAGGAUAGGUGGGAGUCUGAGAGACAUGGGUUUCGGCUCAUGUGGAGACGGUGUUGGGAUACCACUCUUCGGUUACUGAAAUUCUAACAUAGCUCUGUGAAACCAGAGGAUGGACAGUGUCAGGUGGACAGUUUGACUGGGGCGGUCGCCUCCGAAAGAGUAACGGAGGCGCCCAAAGGUACCCUCAGAAUGGAUGGAAACCAUUCGAAGAGCGCAAAGGCAGAAGGGUGCCUGACUGCGAGAUUGACAAAUCGAGCAGAGACGAAAGUCGGGCUUAGUGAUCCGGCGGUAUUGAGUGGAAAAGCCGUCGCUUAACGGAUAAAAGCUACCUCGGGGAUAACAGGCUGAUCUCCCCCAAGAGUCCACAUCGACGGGGAGGUUUGGCACCUUGAUGUCGGCUCGUCGCAUCCUGGGGCUGAAGCAGGUCCCAAGGGUUUGGCUGUUCGCCAAUUAAAGCGGCACGCGAGCUGGGUUCAGAACGUCGUGAGACAGUUCGGUCCCUAUCCAUCGUGGGCGUAGGAGUCAUGAGAGGAGCUGUUCCUAGUACGAGAGGACCGGAAUGGACGCACCACUGGUGCAACUGUUGUCGUGCCAACGGCAUAGCAGGGAAGCGAAGUGCGGAUGGGAUAAACGCUGAAGGCAUCUAAGCGUGAAGCCCACCUCAAGAAUAAGACUCCACAAUAGACCCCUGGAGGACUACCAGGUAGAUAGGUCAUCGGUGGAAGCGCUGUAAGGCGUGUAGCUUGAUGAUACUAAUCGGUCGAAAGCUU
rnacentral:rRNA from 1 species